UUUGUAGGUGGUCUGUUAAGUCAGACGUGAAAUCCCUCAGCUUAACUGGGGAACUGCGUCUGAGACUGAUGGACUUGAGGGCAGGAGAGGAACGCGGAAUUCCAGGUGUAGCGGUGAAAUGCGUAGAUAUCUGGAGGAACACCGGUGGCGAAGGCGGCGUUCUGGACUGUUUCUGACACUGAAAAACGAAAGCCAGGGGAAGCAAACG
rnacentral:rRNA from 1 species